rnacentral:tRNA from 1 species
GGGGAUGUAGCUCAGUGGUGCAGCAUCUGCCUGGCAAGCAAAAGGCCUUGAGUUCAAUUCCCAGUAUUCUGC